rnacentral:lncRNA from 1 species
CAGCGUUUGUCCAUUUCACAAUGUGAGGAUACAGCAAGAAGUGUCAUCUUGGAAGCAGAGAGCAAACACUCAUCAGACAUUAAAUCUGACAGCACCUUGAUCCUGGACUUCCCAGCCUCUAGAAAUUGUAUGCAAUGGUAUGAGGAACUGUUCCACAUUAAAGGAGACUAAGAAGACAUAACAACUCGAUGCAAUGUGUGAUUCUGGACUGGAUCUUGCAUUGGAGGAGAAAAUGCUAUAAAAGGUUUACUGCCAUAUUUUGAAGAGAUAGAUAGCAUUUCCAGCUUCCACUCCUCUCAUUUUAAUGGGCAACAAGAAAAGGAACUACCAGGAGUAAGGUUCAAAUUUUAAUACACAGAAGAGGUGUAUCUAAAGGUUUAAUGAAAAUUGAAGGGUCAGAAGUACAUUCAUGUCCAGGGAUCACCAAUGAGGAAAUGUGCAGCAGAGCUGAUAAUAUUGUGUAGGAGAACAGACAAGGAACUCUUCUACUGAUGACCAAGGUGCUUCCCAACCACUGCCACUGUCUGCAUUCGAGUUUCGUUUUACCUCUGGACAUUUGCUUUGGCUGCUGCCACUUGGAAUGACUGCCACAGCUAAAUCGAGUGAUAUUUUUAACCCUAUGUGUUCAUGGAGGCACUCCAGCUACAAACCAAAGGAAAUCCCAAUUUAGAUUACUUGGAAUCAGUACUAUAAAAUUAUGCAGUUUGUGAAUAUAUUCUUGGUGUUUCACAGUUGACAACACUAUAUUCCCUUGAGUACCAAACUCACAGAAACCCCAUGGAAUGAUCUCUCUCUCCAAGUACAGUUUUUCUGGAAUCAGUAUGAGGUGUGAGACUAAUCAGACAAGGGCUUUAGCAAAUGUGCAUUUUUAAAAUAAACAGCCUAGAAAAAUUAUGGCAGUUCUUUUAUGGCCCAGAAUAACAUGUUUUCACUUAUCAGCUGCUUAACAGAGAAAUGAAUUGAUACAAAAA